GCCUCAUAUAAGGUAAAAGAAAAGUCUUUGCUCCCCAAGCCGGCCAUGCUUCAAAAAGGAGCCACACUCCGGGAACCCCCUUCAGACGGUGGAGCGCACAGCGUCCAUGAGCAGGGACCACCUCUCUGCAUCUCUACCCAUCCCGACACCAAACACCCAUCCACCCUCCCACCCAACCAAAUCGGCCAGGACCAGUGUAGACGAUCCUUCUUCUUCAAAACACAGACUGUGAGUCUGCAGCGGGGAAACACAACAUGGACAGUUGACACAACAUGCUUCAGGUUUAAUAGCUGCAGGUCAGACCGGCUGGCUCGGGGACAAACUGAGGAAUUCAUCUGAAUUAAUCCUCCCAUGUACUCAACAGGACGUAGGAGGUCGUGGUCCAUGUUGAUCAAAGAUGGAGGGGGAAGGGAAAGGCACCGUGUCACGUUCAGCCCAACAGCUGCCUGGUGGAAUCCAGCUCUGAUUCUGAGCCUCUGAAUCCACAAAUUUUGUAAUUGUGUAUAUAAUUACAACACAUGUAUUGUUUUAUAUAUGUGUUAUUUGCGGUUUGGUUUGCAAUAUGUCUAUUUGCAACUGUAAAAAUGACCUGUAAACAUGCUGCUUCAGGUCUUUUGUUUGCGGAUUGCGGUUCAGCAAUAAAAGUCUGAGUCAUGAUUCUCAGUUCACACAACAUGAAAAUCUCAAUAGACUAGUACACGUGUCUAAAGGCAUUAGAGGAAUAAUAAAAAUGCUGUUUUAGAAAUGGUUAUUGUGAUCAGCAAGUACAGAUCAGUACAUCUAAGUUUAGCUGAGUGCAGUAACAUGUUUAGACUUGAGUUAGAUGGAAUGUCUGAAUUUAAUCAAAAUCAAACAUUUAAUCAGGUUAUGGACAGAUUUUGAAGGUGGAGUUUGGUUACUUUUAUAUGACUUGUUGUUGUAUAAAACACACUGAAAUGUGAUUAAAUAAAGUUGACUAAAUGCUAGUACAAACUCUGACCUACAUGUUAUACAAAUCUCUCCAUUCUGGCUCAGACUUGCACAUAUGACGCAGAGAAAGAGAUCUACAGGGUGGAGGGACUUGCAUGGCUGGUAAUGCCGUGGCAAUGUGACGCACACAACUGAUUAAUCUGAUCAGAGCACACCUGGCAUGCCAAGGUGUGUUCUUCCUCUUCCCUCCAUUUUUCUCAUUCAAAUGCCAACGUUUCCAAGGCCAAACGUCUUUAGCCAUCUGCUUAACCAAGACCACACACUGCCAUUCCAUUUGGAGUGAGAAUUCCAGUGAUUUGCCACACUGUCCGCCAUGUGCUGGGUAAGACAAGCAGUAUUGAGUGCUCUGUGUGUGUAUUUAGUAACACAUCACAAAAAAAAAACAAAAAAAACACUUAGGUUAAGAGGCAAUUAAUCAGCAACCAAGGGCAAACUAAUGUAUAUUCUGAGAAUGUUUUUCAAACAUUAUAUUAUAGUUGUUUAAUUUAAAAUGUUUUUAAAAUGUGAAAAAAACUUGGAACAUUGUUUUAAUGUAAGCAUAAUGUCUUUCAACUUAAUUUUAAC
ensembl:lncRNA